GACGAACGCUGGCGGCGUGCUUAACACAUGCAAGUCGAACGGGCCUGUCUUCUUUUUUGGGGGUGGGUUGAGUGGCGAACGGGUGAGUAUCACGUGAGUAACCUGCCCUUCGGUCCUGGAUAACCGCUUGAAAGGGCGGCUAAUGCGGGGUGGUCCGGUUGGUCCGCAUGGGCUGGUCGGGAUAGAUUCACUGUUUUUGGUGUUUCGGCGGGGGAUGGGCUCGCGGCCUAUCAGCUUGUUGGUGGGGUGAUGGCCUACCAAGGCGGUGACGGGUAGCCGGCCUGAGAGGGUGGGCGGCCACACUGGGACUGAGAUACGGCCCAGACUGCUGCGGGAGGCAGCAGUGGGGGGUAUUGCACAAUGGGCGGAAGCCUGAUGCAGCGACGUCGCGUGAGGGAUGGAGGCCUUCGGGUUGUGAACCUCUGUUUCCGGUGGUGAAGGCCCUGUCCGUGUGGUGGGGUUGACGGUAGCCGGGGAUGAAGCGCCGGCUAACUACGUG
rnacentral:rRNA from 1 species